AAAAAAAUUAUUUCAAAAACGUUUCGUAGUGCGAUAACUACACUUUUACUCUUCACGGAUUUCGCAUAAAUUUUCAUUUUAGGUCACGGAAAGGAUUUAUAUCCUGCACACCAGGACAAGCCAUUGUUUCAUCAGUCUCUACUUCGCCGACCUGCAGUUUUUUUAAUUUAAUUUUUUUCUUAUAUUAUUUAUGUUUUGUAUUCUUAGAAUAUCAAUAAAAAGCAUGUACAAAAAUUGAUAAUCAAAAUAAUUUUUGAUUUUGUUUUUAUCGCGUCAAAAAAAAUACCUAAAAUUCGGGCUUCUAAACCAGAAUACCCCCUUAAUCAGGGUGGUGGAUCAGUAAUGGUUUGGGGAUGUAUAUCGGCGAAAGGGACGGGCAACCUGCAUUAUGUGCAAGGUAUUAUGGAUCGUUUCCAAUAUGUCGACAUUUUUGUCAAAAACUUGUCGCCUCUAUACCAAUGCGACUAAGAAGCAGUUUUAUCUGCAAAAGAAUAUGCUACGAAAUAAAGGUAAUCAUUGGCUUGUUAAAAAAAUAAGGUUAGUUGUGUGGAACGAAUUUUGCAUAUUGAGAGUUUUAUGCUGUGCAUUAUUUUAUUAUUACUUUUAAGUUUCCAAAAAUAAAAUAGAAGAUUUUUCCUUUA